AUGUAUAUAUAUAUAUAUCAUACAUAUAGGUAGAUAGAUAGAUAGAUAAAGGUGAUGGGAUAAAAUGUAGGAAGAUAGAGGAAAGGAACAUGGACUAAAAUAUAAGAUUAAUUAUAGAGUAAGACAUUGGUAUUGGUUAAUAUCAGAAGAAAUUGGUGUGUGUAGGGUAGAGAAAUAUGCUAAAGAAUAAUUGGAAAUAUAGGCAGAGACAUAGGAGGAAUUCUAGACAGAAAUAACUGAGAAAUACAAAUAAAAGUACAAGGAGGGGAAGAGAAACUAUGGCGAUAAAGAUAAAAAUAUAGUGAGGAGAAUAUAGAGAGAAUUCUACGAUACAGAAUUAGGGAAUAGAUAAAAAUAUAGUGAGGAGAAUAUAGAGAGAAUUCUACGAUACAGAAUUAGGGAAUAGAUGAAAAUAUAGUGAGGAGAAUAUAGAGAGAAUUCUACGAUACAGAAUUAGGGAAUAGAUAAACAGAUAUAUAGAUGGUGGAAGAGAGACAUGAGGAAGAUAUAUGUAGGACAGAAAUAAGCCAAAUUUAGAACUGGAAGAUACUAAGGAAUGACAGUAUAGCAUGGUACUUUACUAUUGUAAAUAAUUAUUUCGUGUUUUUAGAGAACCGUUCCUUUGGUGAAGAAUUGUGGAAAGCAAAAUUCAACCAAGGGAUGUUUUGUUAAAAUUAUUUUAGGCAGUAAAUAUUUUUGGUUAUUUUUUUUUUCUGUUUUUGAUCCCGUGGAUAAUAAAAGAACCUAUUAUUAGUAUCAUGUUUAUUUCUAUAAUUAUCAUCAUCAUCAUCAUGAUUAAUCUUUAAUUAACAUUAAUUAACAUUAUUGUCUUAGCCAGGACCAGUCUGAUCUGGCAGUUUUUCUGCCAGAUCAGACUGGGCCUGGUGCAGCCUCCUGGCUUCCCAGACCCCAGUCAAACCGUCCAACCCAUGCUAGCAUGGAAAGCGGACGUUAAACGAUGAUGAUGAUGAUAAGUAUAACACACGAGUAAGUACAGAAAUGCAAAACGAGGUGGAAAAAAAAUAGUACUCGAAUACUGAAGGUAGAGUAAUAUGCUUUCAUGGAAGCUGCAAACUGUUACUCAAGGUUUCACAUUACCAUUUGUCGGACAGAUGUGAACAUAUAGAUUGCAACUGUCUGAGGAAUGGUAAUGUGAAACGCUAAAUAACAGUUUGUGAAGACUUUCGCAGCUUUAAUAAGAAUACAUAACUAUAAUACAUAGAAACCAUUAAUGAUGAUGCAAUGUUUCUAAUAUAGGCACAAGCACAUAAAUUUGGAAGGAGAAGGGGCCAGUUGAUUAUAUUGACCCCCCAGCAUUUCAAUGAUGUGUUUAUUUUAUCACUCCCAACAAUCCCCGACCAAGGGAAGUCACCCUUCGUGAGAUUUGAACUCAGAACUCAGAAUAAUAAUAAUAGUCCUUUCUGCUAAAGGCACAAUGCCUGCAAUUUGUGGUGGGGGGGGGGACUAGUUGAUUAGACUGAACCUAGUGUUUCACUGGUACUUAAUUUAUCAGCCCCGAAAGGGUGAAAGCCAAAGUCGACCUCAGAGGAAUUUGAACUCAGAACGUAGCCAUGGGUGAAACACCAUGAAGCAUUUCGCCCAGUGUGCUACUGAUUCUGCCAGCUCGCUGCCUUAAUAAUAAAGUAUGUUAAGAAUGAAAAUUGAUGUCAACUCAUUCUUUUAUUUUUUUAGAAUUGAUAAAACAAAGUACCAUCGGAAUAUUGGGGUCAACAUAACGAAAUAGUCCUCAUGCCUAUGGAAAAAUUUUUUAUUAUUAUUAUUAUUAGUAGUAGUAGUAGUAGUAAGGCAGGAAAGGUGGCAGAAUUGUUAGCACACUGGGUGAAAUGCUUAGUGGCAUUUCAUCUGCCUUGACAUUCUGAGUUCAAAUUCCACCGAAGUCAGCUUUAUAUUUCAUCCUUUCGGAGGUCGAUAACAUAAGUACCAGUUGAGCACUGGUGGUGGUGGUGGUGGAGGGGUUUAUCGACUAAUCCCCUCCAAUCAAAACUGCUGGCACUGUGCCAUAAUGAUAAUAAAAAAAAAUUAUUAUUAUUAUUGUUGUUAUUAUUAUUAUUAUUAUUAGUAGUAGUAGUAGUAGUAGUAGUAGUAGUAGUAUGAGGAGGAGGAAUUAUUAUCAGCAUUAACGUUAUAAAACAACACUAUUUGUUGUAUCACUGCUUGUACAUGUAUGACAGAGAGUACAUUAUCUCAAGACACGUGUACUAAUGUACUUUUAAGAACGUAACACUGGUUACCCAUCUACAAUAUAUGCUAAUUGCGAUACAAUGACUAACUACAACAAGGCAGGAAUUGGGUCACAUUUGAACCAGACUAAUAACAUUUAAAAGAUAGAUUAUCGAGUGAGUGUGCUUGUGUUGAGUACUGUACGGCAUCUACGCACACAGACAUAGUUAUACACAGAUAUACACUGACUCAACAUGCACACACACACACACACAUAUAUAUAUAUAUAUAUAUGUAUAUAUAUAUAUAUAUAUAUAUAUACAUGAUUUUUUAUAAAAUGUAGCUAUAUACAUCAAAGGCCCAGCUGUACUAACCAGUCUAUUUUAGAUCAUCCCUUUAUAAAGAACAGCCACAUUUUAAUGGAUAUUAUGCUUGACUAUAUCUUUUGUUAAAUAUUGUAGCUUUCAAUGCUUUAUGAUAUAAACUUUUAUAACAUUUGAUAAUGCCGGCAAUGACACAAAUAUCUUUUAAGACUCAGCGUACCAAGCGACAUGCACAGAUUUACCUAAUUCACAUACAUGCUCCCAUAAGCACAUACAGGCUCACAUAUACAUGUGUAUAUAUAUAUAUAUAUAUAUAUAUAUAUAUAUAUAUAUAUGGUCACCGUGACCGACCAGGCUAUCAGAUGUUGCUACACAUCGCUGGUCACAAUGUAUUUCGCAUUGUUUUAGCCUUUAAAUGACGCCACCCCGCUGGCUAAGCGAGCAGGUGUGUGUGUGUGUGUGUGUGUGGUUCAACAGUUUUGCCACCAAUGAUAGACAUUCCUUGGGGAUUAAUACUGCAGUAUUACGGUGUUCCUAUAAUACAUCCGUGUUAAGCAGGAUGUAGUUUAUAUAGUCAUUCACUUGUAAUACUAUCUUUGUUGCUAAUAUCUUACACACACACACACACACAUAUAUAAAAUCAAAAUAAGCAACAAGGAUAUCCAGAGGUAAUGCAGUACGAUCGUUUCAUGCAACUCCAUUUAAUUGAACAAUGCAAUCAUUACAUCAAUUUAAAAUGCAGAGCAAUCUUCAGCUACACAAAGACAUAGAAUUUAAUUAAAUUAGAACAGAUGGACACCUUAGUAUAAUUAUACCUAAGAUCUCCAAGAAGUUAAGGAGAUAGACAAAGAACAUGUUGUCUCACUCCAGCAUAGAAGUUACUGCAUUACCUCUGGAUAUCCUUGUUGCUUAUUUUGAUUUUAAUCACCUUACUUUGAAAUUGUAUGGAUAAUGCCAUACUAAAUUCCAGUGCCUCAACUUAAGUACCAUAUUCAUCUGAAUCUAUCUAUCUAUAUAUAUAUAUAUAUAUAUAUAUAGAUAUGUAUAUUAUAUUAAAUUAGAGAUAAAACCACUAUUAGGCAAAUCAAACAAUGAAAAACUUAAGCCAAUACAUAAAAUUAAUUAAUUUAUAUUAUUUUAAAUAUAUAUCAAAAUUAUUAAAAGUUUAAUAAACGAUAAUGAGUAAAACACUACGAUCGUUUCAUGGCUGUCCAAUUCGUAAUAAUUCGAGUUAUGGUUACAGUCAAUCUUCAGGUGAUUGAAAUAUCUAAAAUAUAAUCAGAAAUACUUAAACACACAAACACACACAUACUUGCAUAUACAUAUUUUUACAUAGAUGCAUACGUACAUAUACACAUUUAUGUAUAUAAAUUUCUCUACAGCUUUAUUUCCUGUCAAAGCUAUUUCUAGCCCAACCAUUAUAAGCGCAUCUUACUUUAUCCACUCCAAUAUUAAUUCUCUCAAAGGUACUUGUAUGGUCUGAGACUACAAACAAAUGUGAGACCAUCGUUCCCUUCACUUUUAUUCUACUUCUGCUAUUGCCACUCACUCACUCAUUCUCUUUUUAUUUGACAGCCUUCCCACUUUCACAUAAUCUCUUUAGUGUGACAGGGAGUAAAUAGAAUGGUUGUAUACUGUCAAUCUAACAGUAGGGGGUUACACCACCGCUGUUUAGCCCUAGGAAGCGUCUACGCUUCCUGCUGGCUUCGACACAUUUUUCCUGUGUCCUUAUAUACAUUUACGAAGGGGAGGAAAAAAAUGUGUCGAAGCCAGCAGGAAGCGUCGAUGCUUCCUAGGGCUAAACAGCAGUGGUGUAAUCCCCUACUGUCACGUUCACGUUAGAUUGACAGUAUACAACCAUUCUAUCGCCCCACCACCGUACAUAUCUCUAUGAGAGAUUUAGAAAUUUAAUAUUUCUGAUUUUGGAGUAAAUAGAUAAAACUAUUUAUUAUGUGCAAAUGGUCUUCUGUAUAGAACCAUAACUGACAACAUAGAAUCCAAUAGUGUGAGGCAAUAUAGAAGGGGGUAUUCUAUAGUCUAGACAAUAAUUCAGUAACAUACAUUAUACUAAAAUUAUACGAGUUAAUUUAAAUUUAAAUCUCAUUAAAUUUAAGGAAAUUCAUGCUAUUUUUAGCUAGUAUGUGCACAGAUCUAUAUAUAUAUAUAUAUGUGUGUGUGUGUGUGUGUGUGUGUGUGUGUGUGUCCAUGUGUGUAUAUGUGUACUUACACGUGCAUCUGUGUAUUUGUGAAUGCACACUUGCAUAUAUGUGUUUCUUACACAGGUAUACAUAGAUGAAAGUGGGUUUAUGUAUAUCUGCACAUUUGUGUGUGUGUGUGUGUUUAAAUGUUUUAAAUAUUUUUUUUUUCAAAGUUAAAACAAUGCAAUUACUAAUACAGGUCAAUGGCUAAUGCUAUCGGCUGGUAUUUCAAAAUUUCAAGGUUAUGACCUCUUCUUCAGGAAUUGGACAGAGAAAAAGGUGUUGAUAGCUGACACUAUACAGUAUAGGAAUCAGCUAUCAACAUCUUUCAUCUGUAAAUCUUCUGAAGAAGUGGUUGUAAAACUUGGUGAUAGUGAACUGUUGACCUGUGUUAUUAAUAUUUUACAACCUGCAUUAUUAUAGCUUUAAAAAUAAAUAUUUUAAACAUAUAUAUAUAUA
rnacentral:lncRNA from 1 species